rnacentral:lncRNA from 1 species
UCUCUUUCUCUUCAUCCUGCUCUCUUCUCUACAGAGCUGUCAUUUGAUCCCAGGAAGAGGACACCAGCGGAAGGCAUCCUUGAUAAGAAAGGCUGACAGAAGAUUAAGAAAUGAGCAAUUGUCAUGUUGGGAUAAGUGGACACUACUGAUGCCAGAAGACUGCUCUCUCUCAAGCAGCUCAAAACCAGCCUGGAGGUAGAGUCAGUGGACCAGAUCAGUGGCCAGCAAUCCUGUCCGAAGAUUUAUAAGGACCUUUGAUGUAUUUCUUCAACAACUGGAAUCACUGUUGCCAAAUAAAGGGUCAGUUAAUCGGAUAAUUCUAAUUCUGUAUUUUGAUCAAGAUCUUGCUUUCCACUGACUUAGUUAGGUCCGUUGAGCUUUGGAGCCACACGCACCCCUUUUGUUGUUAAAUCCCAGAGCUCCUGUUCCCAAGACUGCACCUUUGCAUUUUGAGCACACACUGACUCAGAGACAACUAGGCACGCAUCCCCUCCGGGGUCCUCAUGGGGGAGCUGUCAUCUUCCAACCACAUAACCAUAGCAUGCCAUUGCAGUGGCAACCCCGCAGGCGGGCCCCCCUCUAAAGGCCGCCCAGCCCCCGCGACGCCCCGGCUCAGCUGCAGGCAGCGACACUCCGGAGCCGGCUGCCGGGUUGGGUCUCCUGCUCUCGGCGGGGGAGCAGGAGCGCGCCCGCCCACGCCCACGCCCACGGCCCCCACACUCGUGAGCGCACACCCCGGCGCGCGCACGCCCGCACACCAGGGCGCACGCACAGCACACCGGGGCCACAGACGGGCUCUGAGCGGCUGCGAGUGGGGACGCAGCCGGAUUCCC